UUGACAGUAAACAAGUUGUUUGUUUUGUAAAACAAAACAAACAACUUGUUUACUGUCAA
rnacentral:miRNA from 1 species